rnacentral:rRNA from 1 species
UACGGGGGGGGCAAGCGUUGUUCGGAAUUACUGGGCGUAAAGGGCUCGUAGGUGGCCAACUAAGUCAGACGUGAAAUCCCUCAGCUUAACUGGGGAACUGCGUCUGAUACUGGAUGGCUUGAGAUUGGGAGAGGGAUGCGGAAUAUGUCAUGUAGCGGUGAAAUGCAUAGAUAUGACAUAGAACACCAAUUGCGAAGGCAGCUGGCUACACAAAUAUUGACGCUGAUGCACGAAAGCGUGGGGAUCAAACAGG